UUUUCCUUUACCCCUCCUUUUUUUUAUGUUCGGAUGAGGAUUUUCCCUCUGCUCCUAACGGAGUUGUAGGGGUGUAGAGGAGCCGUUGAGGAGGCUUUUUCCCUCAUCCGGUCUUAAACGAUUAGGUCUUCGUUUGUGUCAGGACGAGAUUCUCCUCCUGUUCCCGACACAGUCAAUUUCAACUCAUGUUAGGACGAGGUUUUUCUCUUGUUCCUAACAGGGCUGCGGGGGCGCAUAAGGGCCAUUGCGAGGGCCUCUCCCCCCAUCCAGUCUCAUAAUAAUCGGGCCUUCGACUUUGCUCAUGUUAGGACGAGAUUCUCCUCCUGUUCCUAACA
rnacentral:lncRNA from 1 species